rnacentral:rRNA from 1 species
CUGGUUUACCCGGUUUAAGAGUGUAGGGAGUCAGUUUAGGUAAAUCCGGACUGGCAAUUCUGAGACGUGAUGACGAGUCUCUUUUGAGACGAAGUGAUUGAUGCCAUACUCCCAGGAAAAACCUCUAAGCUUCAGGUAAUAAGUAACCGUACCCCAAACCGACACAGGUGGGUGGGAUGAAAAUUCUAAGGCGCUUGAGAGAACUCUGGUGAAGGAACUAGGCAAAAUUGUACCGUAACUUCGGGAGAAGGUACGCCCCUGGUAUGUGAAGAGACUUGCUCUCGGAGCAGAAGGGGGUUGCAAUAAAAUGGUGGCUGCAACUGUUUAUUAAAAACAUAGCACUCUGCAAACUCGAAAGAGGAAGUAUAGGGUGUGACGCCUGCCCGGUGCCGGAAGGUUAAUUGAUGGGGUUAGUCUUCGGACGAAGCUCUUGAUCGAAGCCCCGGUAAACGGCGGCCGUAACAAUAACGGUCCUAAGGUAGCGAAAUUCCUUGUCGGGUAAGUUCCGACCUGCACGAAUGGCGUAAUGAUGGCCACACUGUCUCCACCAGAGACUCAGUGAAAUUGAAAUCGCUGUUAAGAUGCAGCGUACCCGCGGCUAGACGGAAAGACCCCGUGAACCUUUACUACAGCUUUGCACUGGACUUUGAACCUAUUUGUGUAGGAUAGGUGGGAGGCUUCGAAACCGAGACGCUAGUUUCGGUGGAGCCAACCUUGAAAUACCACCCUGGUAUGUUUGAAGUUCUAACCUAGACCCGUUAUCCGGGUUGGGGACAGUGUAUGGUGGGUAGUUUGACUGGGGCGGUCUCCUCCCAAAGAGUAACGGAGGAGCACGAAGGUACCCUCAGCGCGGUCGGACAUCGCGCAAUGAGUGCAAAGGCAUAAGGGUGCUUGACUGUGAGACAGACAAGUCGAGCAGGUACGAAAGUAGGUCUUAGUGAUCCGGUGGUUCUGUAUGGAAGGGCCAUCGCUCAACGGAUAAAAGGUACUCCGGGGAUAACAGGCUGAUACCGCCCAAGAGUUCAUAUCGACGGCGGUGUUUGGCACCUCGAUGUCGGCUCAUCACAUCCUGGGGCUGAAGUCGGUCCCAAGGGUAUGGCUGUUCGCCAUUUAAAGUGGUACGCGAGCUGGGUUUAGAACGUCGUGAGACAGUUCGGUCCCUAUCUGCCGUGGGCGUUCGAGAUUUGAGGGAAGCUGCUCCUAGUACGAGAGGACCGGAGUGGACGUACCCCUGGUGUUCCGGUUGUCACGCCAGUGGCAUUGCCGGGUAGCUACGUACGGACAGGAUAACCGCUGAAAGCAUCUAAGCGGGAAGCCCCUCCCAAGAUAAGAUCUCGCUGGAACUUUAAGUUCCCUGUAGGUCCGUUAAAGACUAUGACGUUGAUAGGCUGGGUGUAGAAGCACAGUAAUGUGUGAAGCUAACCAGUACUAAUUGACCGUGAGGCUUGACC